rnacentral:rRNA from 1 species
AUUGAACGCUGGCGGCAUGCCUUACACAUGCAAGUCGAACGGCAGCACGGGUGCUUGCACCUGGUGGCGAGUGGCGAACGGGUGAGUAAUACAUCGGAACGUACCUUAUCGUGGGGGAUAACGCAGCGAAAGCUGUGCUAAUACCGCAUACGCCCUGAGGGGGAAAGCGGGGGAUCGCAAGACCUCGCGCGAUUAGAGCGGCCGAUGCCUGAUUAGCUUGUUGGUGGGGUAAAAGCCCACCAAGGCGACGAUCAGUAGCUGGUCUGAGAGGACGAUCAGCCACACUGGGACUGAGACACGGCCCAGACGCCUACGGGAGGCAGCAGUGGGGAAUGUUGGACAAUGGGGGCAACCCUGAUCCAGCAAUGCCGCGUGAGUGAAGAAGGCCUUCGGGUUGUAAAGCUCUUUUGUCAGGGAAGAAACACCGGCUCUAACACAGUCUGGGAAUGACGGUACCUGAAGAAUAAGCACCGGCUAACUACGUGCCAGCCGCCGCGGUAA